AAAGGUAAGAAUUUAAUUUUGGUUCCGAUUGAACGUUUUUCAGUAGUUUUAAGACAUGCAAAUCAUUGUUUUCAAAAUAUAAUUAUUUCUAUUAGAGAAUAAGGUGUAAGGGUGAGUAAUGAUAAAUAAGAUACCCUUUAGUCUCCCUAAAUUGGAGAUAAUAUAAAAAAGGAACGUUUUCUGCUAAAGGCUUCUAUUUAUUUCGAUUAGGUAGUUGUUAGGGUAAAGUCCUACCAAGCCAACGAUCGAUAGCUAAGCUUGAAAGAGCCUAUAGCCACAUUGGGAAUGCAAUCUCCCAAGUAGUACUAAACAAAAGCUACCAGCAGUCGAGAAUAUUAGUCAAUGCUCGAAAGAGUGAACUAGCUAACUGGAAUCACUAGUAUCUCACUAGAGAAAUAGUAAUGGGAAAACACUGAUAUUACCUUACUAAAGUGCCGUCCAAAUCUGGUGCCAGCAGACGCGGUAAGACCAGAGGCGCAAACGUUAAUCUUCAUAAACAGGCGUAAAGGGUUUGUAGGCGGCUUGUAUGUUGAAUUCAUUUAAUUCUGAAUUAAUCAACCAUUUUACAGGCUAGAAUCAAAUAGAGGUAACUUAAAGAAUAAUUAGAGUAGGGAUUAAAUCCAAAGAUCCUAAGGAGAAUACUAAAGGCGAAAGCAUUAUACCAAUACUGAUUGACGCUGAGAAACGAAAGUGAGGGUAUGGAACAGGAUUAGAGACCCUGCUACUCCUCACUGUCAACGAUGAAUGGUAGCUCCUAGUUUUUAAAGCCAGAGGCGCAGUAAACACGAUAACCAUUCCGCCUUGUUAGUAAAACUGCAAAGUUGAAAACAAAAAAAUUAGCCGGAUUUGGAGCAAACGAAGUGAAGCAUGUUAUUUAAUACGAUAACCCGCGUAGAACCUUACCAGUUCUUGAAUAACACCUCUAAUUUCCAAACGAAACCUUUAUUUUUUGUAUUUGGAAUAGUACGGAACAUCCGGAGGAGUGUUUGGUUUAUACCCUACACGAAGUUACAGGUGCUGCAUGGAAGAACUCUUGAGCAAAGUUCUAUGCUGUGUAAUAGACCCAAAUUCCGGGGACACCCUAAAGCGUUUAUUACUAAACAGUAACUCUCAAAAGGAGUAAGCUGCGGCCAAUCUAAUCAAUUGGGUAAAGUAAGAAGAUAAACGAUGUUCGAAAGAUAAAUGGGCAAUCGCGGAACUAAAUCACCUCUGUAACUGCCAAAAUUAAUACUAGUUUUUAUAGUCUUAUUUUUCAGUUUCAUGUUGUAAAAGCGCAUCGACUAGAUGGGUCUAAUGUUGAUAACCGUUUUUUGCCCCACUACCUCGUCCCUCUGCACGUGGUUAACAAAAAAACAGAUCAUUCUUUAUUAUUGAUCCGAAUGACACCAUUUAAUGUGAGGUACGACCGUUUGUGGGGGAAGAAGUCAAUGUUAAGGUAUAGUCAGGAGUCUUCUAAAGAAGAUGAUAUAUGUUCAGCUCUACCUAAAGAUUAUGACAAAUAAUUCAUGGUGAAGAACACUACCCCUGGGCUGUCGUCAGUCCGUGUUGUUAGAAGUAUGGUUAAUUCCUCUAACGGACGCAAUCCCUUUUGUUAAUUAAAUCUUAACAAUUAAGUACUGAUAAAGUACUAUUUGGGGCUAAGACAAGUCGUUAUGGCCCUAAUGAACUGGGCAAUAGACGUGCCACAAUAACUUUUACAAAGUGAUGCAAUACUUAAAAUAGGUUGAGCUAAUCAUUAAAGAAAGUUAUAAAAAUCAAAUUAUAGUCGGAUUGUCCUCUGUAACCCGUGGACAUGAAGAAGGAAUUUCGAGUAAUCUUUGAUAUGUACGCAAAGGUGAAAAUUUGAAUCCAAAUCGCCCUAACCAUCGAUCAACGGCAAGGAGAAGAUUUUAUGAAAUUAAAUUCAUCAAAUCUAUUUUCAAUUAUUUAGUUUGCUGUAAAUAUUAUCAGUUAAACAAUUUUUGUGAUAAUUUGGUUAAAUUACGUUAGUAAUAAUACUUUGACCUGUCGUAAGUUCUAGUAAGGUAGGCCUAGCGGAAGCUGGUCCUGGAUAAUAAUACAU
rnacentral:rRNA from 1 species